rnacentral:rRNA from 1 species
AUUGAACGCUGGCGGCAGGCCUAACACAUGCAAGUCGAGCGCGCGGCGGCCGGGUGAGUAAUGUCUGGGAAACUGCCUGAUGGAGGGGGAUAACUACUGGAAACGGUAGCUAAUACCGCAUACCAUCAGAUGUGCCCAGAUGGGAUUAGCUAGUGGGUGGGGUAACGGCUCACCUAGGCGACGAUCCCUAGCUGGGCUGAGAGGAUGACCAGCCACAGUGGAACUGAGACACGGUCCAGACUCCUACGGGAGGCAGCAGUGGGGAAUAUUGCACAAUGGGCGCAAGCCGGAUGCAGCCAUGCCGCGUGGAUGAAGAAGGCCUUCGGGUUGUAAAGCACUUUCAGCGGGGAGGCGUUACCCGCAGAAGAAGCACCGGCUAACUCCGUGCCAGCAGCCGCGGUAAUAC